rnacentral:rRNA from 1 species
AUGGUUCAAUGUGCGUUCAUAGAUUCGAUGAUUCCCAGAGCUGCGAUUCGUAAACGCAUCGCACUUCGCUGCGUUCGGCAUUAAGUAGAAGUCGUAACAAGGUUUCCGUAGGUGAACCUGCGGAAGGAUCAUUAACAUAAUAUUCUUACACACUGUUUUUUUACAACAAAACAAACAUAUCUAAAAACAAUUCUUUACAAGAAAUUCUUAAAACUUUCAACAACGGAUCUCUUGGUUCUCGCAUCGAUGAAGAACGCAGCGAAAUGCGAUACGUAAUACGAAUCGCAGCUCUCGGAAUCAUCGAAUCUUUGAACGCACAUUGCACCAUUGGGUAUUCCCAAUGGUAUGCUUGUUUGAGCGAAUACUUCCCUAAUCCUCACGGAUUGUAUUGUGUUUGCACGAAAAUAAUGACGACAGUACUCUACAAAACGGUACCGUCAGUACGCUCAUUUUUUUUUCCUCAAAUCAAGUAGGACUACCCGCUGAACUUAAGCAUAUCAAUAAGCGGAGGA